CAGGGGUGGGGAUGAUGACACCGUUGCAAAUGCGAUGAUGAUUGGCUGGGUGGGCGGAUGCCCUGCUCACGCUGUCUCACUGCACGCUCUGACUACCACUAAACACAAGACAGCGACAAUGGCGACGAGCCAGGGAAAUUCAAAGGUAGCGUUCUCGAACUGGAAGUACCGGCACUACUUCUCGCUCAUUGGAAUUAAAGGCAAGAAUGUUUAUGUAACUUGCACAAUAUAAAAU